GUCUACAGCCAUGUCAUUGUAAACAAGCCCGAUCCCGUCUGAUCUCGGAAGCUAAGCAGGGUCAGGCCUGGUUAGUACUUGGAUGGGAGACCAUCUAGGAAGACCAAGUUCUGUAGCAU
rnacentral:rRNA from 1 species